GAGAGGACGAUCACCACCACUAGGACUGAGACACGGCCCAGACUCCUACGGGAGGCAGCAGUGGGGAAUUUUGGACAAUGGGGGCAACCCUGAUCCAGCAAUGCCGCGUGUGUGAAGAAGGCCUUCGGGUUGUAAAGCACUUUUGUCCGGAAAGAAAUCGCACUUACUAAUAUUAGGUGUGGAUGACAGUACCGGAAGAAUAAGGACCGGCUAACUACGUGCCAGCAGCCGCGGUAAUACGUAGGGUCCAAGCGUUAAUCGGAAUUACUGGGCGUAAAGCGUGCGCAGGCGGUUGUGCAAGACCGAUGUGAAAUCCCCGGGCUUAACCUGGGAAUUGCAUUGGUGACUGCACGGCUAGAGUGUGUCAGAGGGGGGUAGAAUUCCACGUGUAGCAGUGAAAUGCGUAGAGAUGUGGAGGAAUACCGAUGGCGAAGGCAGCCCCCUGGGAUAACACUGACGCUCAUGCACGAAAGCGUGGGGAGCAAACAGGAUUAGAUACCCUGGUAGUCCACGCCCUAAACGAUGUCAACUAGUUGUUGGGGAUUCAUUUCCUUAGUAACGUAGCUAACGCGUGAAGUUGACCGCCUGGGGAGUACGGUCGCAAGAUUAAAACUCAAAGGAAUUGACG
rnacentral:rRNA from 1 species